rnacentral:rRNA from 1 species
GAUGAACGCUGGCGGCGUGCCUAAUACAUGCAAGUCGAGCGAACGGACGAGAAGCUUGCUUCUCUGAUGUUAGCGGCGGACGGGUGAGUAACACGUGGAUAACCUACCUAUAAGACUGGGAUAACUUCGGGAAACCGGAGCUAAUACCGGAUAAUAUUUUGAACCGCAUGGUUCAAAAGUGAAAGACGGUCUUGCUGUCACUUAUAGAUGGAUCCGCGCUGCAUUAGCUAGUUGGUAAGGUAACGGCUUACCAAGGCAACGAUGCAUAGCCGACCUGAGAGGGUGAUCGGCCACACUGGAACUGAGACACGGUCCAGACUCCUACGGGAGGCAGCAGUAGGGAAUCUUCCGCAAUGGGCGAAAGCCUGACGGAGCAACGCCGCGUGAGUGCUGAAGGUCUUCGGAUCGUAAAACUCUGUUAUUAGGGAAGAACAUAUGUGUAAGUAACUGUGCACAUCUUGACGGUACCUAAUCAGAAAGCCACGGCUAACUACGUG